CACUGAACUUUACCGUCUCUUU
rnacentral:miRNA from 1 species